GAACGCGUGGCGGUAUCGACCUAACACAUGACAAGUCUACGGGGGGGGGUAGGUUUUAACUCUAGGUGGCGGACGGGUGAGUAACACGUGAGAAUUUGCCUUUAGGAGGGGGAUAACAAUCGGAAACGAAUGCUAAUACCCCAUAUGCUUUUGAGUGAAAUGGAUUUAUCCGCCUAAAGAGAAGCUUGCGGCUGAUUAGCUUGUUGGUAGGGUAAUGGCCUACCAAGGCGACGAUCAGUAUCUGGUUUGAGAGGACGAUCAGACACACUGGAACUGAGACACGGUCCAGACUCCUACGGGAGGCAGCAGUAGGGAAUUUUCCGCAAUGGGCGAAAGCCUGACGGAGCAAUACCGCGUGAGGGAUGACUGCCUAUGGGUUGUAAACCUCUUUUUCAGGGAGGAAUAAAUGACGUGUACCUGAAGAAUAAGCAUCGGCUAACUCCGUG
rnacentral:rRNA from 1 species